rnacentral:miRNA from 1 species
CAGACACCAAGUUAAAUUUGAAUUUCAGAUAAACAAACAACAAAAAAUGUUAGUAUAAGUAUAUCCUGUGCAAUAUUUGGGACAUACUUAUACUAAAAAGUGUUCGUCUUUUAUCUGAAAUUCAAAUAUAACUGAAGAUCCUGUA